AUCAAAAGAAAAGGUACCUUCCUCUUUCUCCAAUGCAAAAACGUUCCUGCUCUUCACUUUUGAAAAACUCUCUUCUCUAUCUUAUUCAACAAAUAUCUUUCCUCAUCUGCUAGCUUGGAGAUCGACGACAGCGCUACCUGAAGGCAAUGGUCAGAAAGAAAAUCUAAGGGGCGAACGAUGGUUGUUCCGACCAGGGCUUGAUGACGUGGCUUCGUCUAUAGUGACUGCAUGCGGCGGUGGAUUUUCCGGUGAGUUUCAUUUCUCCCUCUCAACUCCUAUUCUUCUUCUUCCAAGCUUCUCCUUGUUUCAUAUUUCGCAGGUACUGGCGGGUGAAGGUAGUAUACUACGGCGGCUAGACCCAAGGUUUCAGAAAUUAAAAUUCGAAUCUCUUCUCCUUCUUCCUGCUUCAAAUUUCUUUGUUUAUCGCUCUGUAUACUGUUUUUUUUCUUGCUGCAAUUUUUUUAUUCUCUCUGUGUACUAUUUUUUUUUGUCCCUCCUCUUACUGUAA